CGUGAGAUGUUGGGUUAAGUCCCGCAACGAGCGCAACCCCUAUCCUUUGUUGCCAGCACGCAAUGGUGGGAACUCAAAGGAGACUGCCGCGGACAACGCGGAGGAAGGCGGGGAUGACGUUCAAGUCAUCAUGCCCCUUAUGUCCUGGGCUACACACGUACUACAAUGGGAUGGACAGAGAGCAGCGAAGCCGCGAGGCCAAGCGAACCCCAUAAACCAUCUCCCAGUUCGGAUUGCAGGCUGCAACCCGCCUGCAUGAA
rnacentral:rRNA from 1 species